GCCUGGCUGGCUCGGUGGGUGGAGCAUAGGACUCUCCAUCUCAGGGUUGUGAGUUCGAACCCCAUGUCGGGUA
rnacentral:tRNA from 1 species